GUCGUAACAAGGUUUCCGUAGGUGAACCUGCGGAAGGAUCAUUACUGAAUGAAAAUGGGUGAGGUUGUAGCUGGCUCCAGUGAUUGGGGCAUGUGCACGCCUCAUUCAAUCAUCCAAACUCUACACCUCUGUGCACCUCUCAUGGGCUGAGUCGUGGUCUGAGACAUUGACCGCGUUCUCUAGCCUGUGUGUUUUUACAUACACCUGCUUGUUCAAAGAAUGUCACAUUUUUGUGCAUGAAAUGCAUACAAUACAACUUUCAGCAACGGAUCUCUUGGCUCUCGCAUCGAUGAAGAACGCAGCGAAAUGCGAUAAGUAAUGUGAAUUGCAGAAUUCAGUGAAUCAUCGAAUCUUUGAACGCACCUUGCGCUCCUUGGUAUUCCGAGGAGCAUGCCUGUUUGAGUGUCAUGGUAUUCUCAACUCUCUCGCAUUGUUUUGUGCGAUGUGGGCUUGGACUUGGAGGUUCAUUGCCGGGAAACUUUCUUUCUUGGCUCCUCUGAAAUGCAUUAGCUUGAAUGGUUUUACCAAGCAUGAUUCAGCGUGAUAAAUGUCUACGUUGCUUUUGCGUUGGUGCUUUCUGACUGAUCAAGCUUCGAACCGUCUCUGGUUUAGAUGGAGACUUGCUCUGAACAUCUGACCUCAAAUCAGGUAGGACUA
rnacentral:rRNA from 1 species